UUGACAGCCAUAGAGACUGAAGCUUUCUGCUUAUCCACAGAUUAGGUACAGCUCAGACAGUGGCAGUGCAUGCUUCCCCACCUCUUGGGCUUCAAUCCUGAGACAUGGAGGGACCACCUGGAGAGAAAAGAGGCUAGUUCAGGUUAGUCCAUGUUCUGUUCCAGGCAUAA
rnacentral:sRNA from 1 species